CACGUAGGCGGGUCUUUAAGUCGGGGGUGAAAUCCUGGAGCUCAACUCCAGAACUGCCUUCGAUACUGAGGAUCUCGAGUCCGGGAGAGGUGAGUGGAACUCCGAGUGUAGAGGUGAAAUUCGUAGAUAUUCGGAAGAACACCAGUGGCGAAGGCGGCUCACUGGCCCGAUACUGACGCUGAGGUGCGAAAGCGUGGGAGCAAACA
rnacentral:rRNA from 1 species